GGUUUGAUCAUGGCUCAGAUUGAACGCUGGCGGGAUGCUUUACAUGCAAGUCGAACGGCAGCACGGACUUCGGUCUGGUGGCGAGUGGCGAACAGGUGAGUAAUGUAUCGGAACGUGCCUAGUAGCGGGGAUAACUACACUUGAAAGCGUAGCUAAUACCGCAUACGCCCUUCGAGGAAAGCGAGGGGACCUUCGGGCCUCGCACUAUUAGAGCGGCCGAUAUCAGUUAGCUAGUUGGUGGGGUAACAGCUCACCAAGGCGACGAUCCGUAGCUGGUUUGAGAGGACACUGACCAGCCACACUGGGACUGAGACACGGCCCAGACUCUGCAGGAGAACAGCGGUGAAAUUUUUUGGACAAUGGGGAAACCCUGAUCCAGCCAUCCGCGUGUGCGAUGAAGGCCUUCGGGUUGUAAAGCACUUUUGGCAGGAAAAGAAACGGCACGGGAUAAUACCCCGUGCAACUGACGGUACCUGCAGAAUAAGCACCGGCUAACUACGUGCCAGCAGCCGCGGUAAUACGUAGGGUGCAAGCGUUAAUCGGAAUUACUGGGCGUAAAGCGUGCGCAGGCGGUUCGGGAAAGAAGAUGUGAAAUCCCAGAGCUUAACUUUGGAACUGCAUUUUUAACUACCGAGCUAGAGUGUGUCAGAGGAGGUGGAAUUCCGCGUGUAGCAGUGAAAUGCGUAGAUAUGCGGAGGAACACCGAUGGCGAAGGCAGCCUCCUGGGAUAACACUGACGCUCAUGCACGAAAGCGUGGGAGCAAACAGGAUUAGAUACCUGGUAGUCCACGCCUAAACGAUGUCAACUAGCUGUUGGAGACCUUCGGGCCUUGGUAGCGCAGCUAACGCGUGAAGUUGACCGCCUGGGAAGUACGGUCGCAGAUUAAAACUCAAAGGAAUUGACGGGGACCCGCACAAGCGGUGGAUGAUGUGGAUUAAUUCGAUGCAACGCGAAAAACCUUACCUACCCUUGACAUGUCUGGAAUCCCGAGAUUUGGGAGUGCUCAUAAGAGAACCGGAACACAGGUGCUGCAUGGCUGUCGUCAGCUCGUGUCGUGAGAUGUUGGGUUAAGUCCCGCAGCGAGCGCAACCCUUGUCAUUAGUUGCUACGAAAGGGCACUCUAAUGAGACUGCCGGUGACAAACCGGAGGAAGGUGGGGAUGACGUCAAGUCCUCAUGGCCCAUAUGGGUAGGGCUUCACACGUCAUACAAUGGUCAGGACAGGGGUCGCCAGCCCGCGAAGAGGCAAUCCCAGAAACCCGAUCGUAGUCCGGAUCGCAGUCUGCAACUCGACUGCGUGAAGUCGGAAUCCUUAGUAAUCGCGGAUCAGCAUGUCGCGGUGAAUACGUUCGGGUCUUGUACCUGCCCGUCACACCAUGGGAGUGGGUUUACCAGAAGUAGUUAGCCUAACCGUAAGGAGGGCGAUUACCACGGUAGGAUUCAUGACUGGGGUGAAGUCGUAACAAGGUAG
rnacentral:rRNA from 1 species